rnacentral:rRNA from 1 species
UGCAACCCGCCCUCGUGAACAUGGAAUCCCUAGUAAUCGCGGGUCAUCAACCCGCGGUGAAUACGUCCCCGCCCCUUGCACACACCGCCCGUCGCUCCACCCGACUGAGGCCUAGACGAGGCGUGGUUUCUUGGCCGCGUCGAGUCUAGGCUUCGGGAGGGGGGAGAAGUCGUAACAAGGUGGCCGUAGGGGAACCUGCGGCCGGAUCACCUCCUAAG